UGCAGUCGAACGGUGAAGGCGGGAGCUUGCUCCUGCCGGAUCAGUGGCGAACGGGUGAGUAACACGUGAGUAACCUGCCCUUGACUCUGGGAUAAGCGUUGGAAACGACGUCUAAUACCGGAUACGAGCUUCAGCCGCAUGGCUAGGAGCUGGAAAGAACUUCGGUCAAGGAUGGACUCGCGGCCUAUCAGCUAGUUGGUGAGGUAAUGGCUCACCAAGGCGACGACGGGUAGCCGGCCUGAGAGGGUGACCGGCCACACUGGGACUGAGACACGGCCCAGACUCCUACGGGAGGCAGCAGUGGGGAAUAUUGCACAAUGGGCGCAAGCCUGAUGCAGCAACGCCGCGUGAGGGACGACGGCCUUCGGGUUGUAAACCUCUUUUAGCAGGGAAGAAGCGAAAGUGACGGUACCUGCAGAAAAAGCACCGGCUAACUACGUGCCAGCAGCCGCGGUAAUACGUAGGGUGCAAGCGUUGUCCGGAAUUAUUGGGCGUAAAGAGCUCGUAGGCGGUUUGUCGCGUCUGCUGUGAAAACGCGAGGCUCAACCUCGCGCCUGCAGUGGGUACGGGCAGACUAGAGUGCGG
rnacentral:rRNA from 1 species